CCUGAUUAGUGGCGAACGGGUGAGUAACACGUGAGUAACCUGCCCUCCACUUCGGGAUAACCUCGGGAAAUCGUGGCUAAUACCGGAUAUGAGCACUCAUCGCAUGGUGAGUGCUGGAAAGAUUUAUCGGUGGGGGAUGGACUCGCGGCCUAUCAGUUUGUUGGUGAGGUGAUGGCUCACCAAGACGAUGACGGGUAGCCGGCCUGAGAGGGCGACCGGCCACACUGGGACUGAGACACGGCCCAGACUCCUACGGGAGGCAGCAGUGGGGAAUAUUGCACAAUGGGCGAAAGCCUGAUGCAGCGACGCCGCGUGGGGGAUGACGGCCUUCGGGUUGUAAACCCCUUUCAGUAGGGAAGAAGCGAGAGUGACGGUACCUGCAGAAGAAGCGCCGGCUAACUACGUGCCAGCAGCCGCGGUAAUACGUAGGGCGCAAGCGUUGUCCGGAAUUAUUGGGCGUAAAGAGCUUGUAGGUGGCUUGUCGCGUCUGCCGUGAAAACCCGAGGCUCAACCUCGGGCGUGCGGUGGGUACGGGCAGGCUAGAGUGUGGUAGGGGAGACUGGAACUCCUGGUGUAGCGGUGAAAUGCGCAGAUAUCAGGAAGAACACCGAUGGCGAAGGCAGGUCUCUGGGCCAUUACUGACACUGAGAAGCGAAAGCAUGGGUAGCGAACAGGAUUAGAUACCCUGGUAGUCCAUGCCGUAAACGUUGGGCACUAGGUGUGGGGGACAUUCCACGUUCUCCGCGCCGUAGCUAACGC
rnacentral:rRNA from 1 species